CUACUUUCCGCACGUCGUGGUGCUCGGGAAGCCCGGUGCAGGACCGGCGCGGCCUUCGCCACUGUGAUCGGGAAGAACCCAUCCACGCCGGGAGCAGACGCCGGCAGCCACUGGACCGCACGACCGGGUCCGGGAAGGCGGGUGGCGCGGUGCCCACUCCCCAGGUGGGACACCGGCCCGUCAGCCAGGAGACCGGCCACGGCGCAGGCGCACAU
rnacentral:ncRNA from 2 species